rnacentral:lncRNA from 1 species
GCCAGCGCCGGCGGGACCCGAGCUGCUAAUGCCUCCAAUCAACAGAUCAGACAGCUUGUACUCACAGGCCAAGGACACGUGGAAAGAGGCUCAAUUUUCUAGAUGGGUGGCAACAGCCAUGAUCUUCUGUCCUCUGGGUCCCCACAAGCCUGGAUGAACUCAAGAUCUGACUCAGUGGCACAGUGAGGAGACCUUUGAGGCCUCAGUGACCAUCCUUGGACUUCACCUCUCACGGCUUUCAGGCAGAGAGGCCCUCCCAUGCCCACAACAGGCUGAGCCCAGCCUUCCUCGGGGUUUGCUUCCAGGCCUGACUUUUACUCCCCUUUCUAAGUGUGCAGAUGGGAUGUGCUUCUCCACAGGAGGCCCCACGGCUUCCCCACCCCUCAGAGGAGCGCCGUGCGUGCGUCUGUGUGGAGGAUUGGCAGCUCCUGCAGUCGGCCCUUGGUCCUAUUUGGCGACGCCUCUGCCUUCCCCUUAAUUAUACAGUCAUGAGCCGCCCUGGAAUCACGGCAGCUCCGGAUGGAUCCUGGAUGCCAGAAUGCAGCCUCAGCACGGGGCUGCAGGACAGGAGUGAGCGAGGGGCUGCAGAGCCGGCGGCCGCGGUGGGCACCAUGGAGGGGGCUGCCCUGGGCAGCACGGGCAUGAGUCUCAAGGCCCAGGUUUGAGUAACAGGUGUUGAGAGCUUACUUACUUUUCCUGAGACACAGUUUCCUCAUCUCGAGAGCACGGAAAAUCAUUCUAACUUCAGAGGAUUGUUGUGAAAGUUAAAUGAGAUUAAAGAGGUAAAGCCCAUGACGUGCUUAGCUCGUGCUUGGCUCUUGGUCAAUGCCAGUUAGCGCUGCAUUUUCUCCCCUCUCCCUCCCUCCUUCUCUCUUUCUUUUCUUCUAUUCUCCAUUCCUGUUUUCUCCCCCACCCCACUCCCCAAAGCUCUGCGUUGAGAACCAGAUGCUGUCUGGUGGGUUAGGGCCAGAGGAGGAAAAGCUGCCCGCCGUGGGCUGCACCCAUACCCUCUUCAUUCCAAUGACAUGAGGGGAGGGGAAAGGACAGAGGUAGACUGUCCUCCCCUACCUCCUCCUAAUACAAAUGGAAUUCCUGGAACUGGAAAACAAAGAAUACCCCCAUAAAAAUAAGACAGUACUUCUGGUGCGGUGUAAUAAAGGGGAAAGUAACCCUCAAUGUCAGGAAACUCCGCACCUCCCAGCUCAUAUUUGUGUGGAGGAAAAGUUAAAUAUUAAUUUGGACUCAACUGAAUGUGGACACAAACAAUGGUCACCAAGUCCCGGAACAGGUUGUGUGAGCCUCUUCAGGGGUUCAUCCAGCGCUGUUUUGGAGAAAUCUCUAUUUCAAUUUAUUCCUAUACGUUAGUUACUGAAAAACAACAGACAAUCGCAAAAGCAAGUUGCCCGUUUUGUGUUCCUUGAGCCCAAUCAUGAAGUGCCGUCGUGACUGGGCCUCAUGACAAACAACUUGUAACAAGUAACAACAGAGCUCAGGUCCCAGACCGCACUGAAGCUCUGUGAGACCUCUCCUCAUCUGUGCAUGAACGAGUGUCUGACUCUGGAGCCCAGCCUGCUGCUUCCCAGUCUGGUGGUGAAUCCUCCGUAGUCUGAUGGAGGUUUGCUCUUGUUGCCCAGGCUGGAGUGCAAUGGCACAAUCUCGGCUCACUGCAGCCCCUGCCUCCCAGGCUCAAGCAAUUCUUACGCCUCAGCCUCCUGAGUAGAUGGAACUACAGAUGCUAAAAUUGACACCAAAAGCGUAGGUGAUGAGCUUGAAUCAGGUAAGAAUUAUAUUCUACUUCCAGCUAAAGAAGAGGAUAUAGAAGAUCAAUAGCUUAAACAAAACAGAAGGUUUGUUUCUCACCCUUCCUGUAAUAGAAAUCUGGCAAUGAGCAAACAUGGUAGUAUUUAUAUUCUGAGUUCUUGUCACAUUAUUUUCAUUUUCAGGUCUUCUCAUGGACUAAAACAGUGACAGUGAGUGCAACUCUACCUAUCAUGUUCAUAUUCUAGGUAGAAACUGGGGAAAAGAGAAAAGGCGGGAAAAAGGCGUUUCUCUACAAAGAUCACACAUAAUCUUCUGUCUGCAUCUCAUUGGUCGGCAUUUAGUCACAUGGCCAUAACUACCAGCAAGGGAAGCUGGGAAAUGUAGUUUUUCAAUGGCACAUUGCUACCCUUAAUAAAAUAAGGAUAUGCUACCAACAAAGAAUGAAUAUGGGAAAGGCCCCUAGCAAUGUCUGCUGCAUCUGCCACUGUGGUUUUCUCUGAUUUCCACAGACAUUGCUCUUCCACAUAGAGCGCAUUCUGAUUCCCAAGCCACCACUCCCAAAUCACACCCAGUUUCUGCAUCUAGCUUGUGUGUGGGCAGUCUGCUCCAUCAGUCCCAGAUGUGGCUUCUCAUGGCUGGUGACCUAUGAACUAAAAGACAGGCCAUUUUUUUCCCAACCUACCCUACCUUUUCUCCUUGAGAGGAAAGAUAAAAUAACCACAAUUUAAAAAUGUCAAUCUUCCAUUCAGAAAAGGGAGGAAAGAGAAACACAGAGAUCACUGGUUUACAGUGAUGGACCCACCCUGCUAGGCAGGAGUGAAAAGGCCUCUCCGUCCGGCAGUGGACUGGGUUCCUUGGCUGGCCCAUGUGGUCCCCACCCACUGUCUCCAGGAGCAUCGCCUUGAACUGUGUCUUCAUGGCUUUUGGCUCCGCCUUCAGAAGGGUCCUCCCUGUCAAUCAUCCUCCAUUGCCACCUCUGAUGUGGGCACUAGGGAGCUGGUCCUUCCCAGAGGAUGCAUGAUUUUGACACCGUGCAGUGUGGGAUGUUGGACCAGGGAAUCCAGCAUAUUUUCGGGCUUUUGUAGUCUCAGACUGGGCCUGAGAUUUCUUUAGAAAUAUAUUAACGGUUCCUUCAACACUCCAAUGGGCAUAUAGCCUAUUUACUUCUGAUCAUUGUAAUGUGCAAAUAACCACAGCCCCAUUUCUUUGUGUCCAGAUGCAGUUUUUAGGCUUGAAUAUUCAUCUGUUUUACUCACUGGCCUCUGUCACUGAGUCUGUCCCCUUAGCUAUUAAAUUAAUGGUGACUAUGAUAACACUUUUCACCCGAUCCUUGCUAGUGCAUUGACUUGCGUUGUCUGCAUCGAGUUCUUAAAAGAUGCUUGGUAAAGUCUUGGGUCACAGUUUUAACUUCUGCUGGGGUUCCUGCUCCACAGCCCUCAUUUAGAACUGUUUCACUUUGGCUAUUGUUUAGCUUUGGGCCAUAUUUGGCUGUUUUUUAGCUUUGUAAAAAUGCUCAUUUAACGGACACAAGGCCUGGGUUAGAAAAUGUAGUAUUUCCUUCCCCCUCUGUUUGCGUAGGAGCUAGCGCUAGUGGAAGCCCAUCUCUCCCUUGCAGGAUUUUGUGGAAAGUGACGAAAAUAACUCAAACCACAUCAGUGUUCUGCUUGAUUUCCACCAUUCUUGGAUGCUAUAACUUCAGAAAGCACAUGAUCUAACUUCCCAAGGGACAGCAGGGCCUCGACCAAAUGCCGUUGUGCUGAGGGCUGCCGGCCGCCCCGCUAGGCUGCUGCACCCUCCCCGCGCUGCCCCACACCUUGCACAGAGCUCAGGCAGCAUUCUAGCACCAUCAGACAAAUUCUUCAUGAGUCAGAAAUCGCACCUGUCUCUUAAUAGCGAUCUGGCCUCAGGUGGCUGAAACACACAGGGUUGAAAUGCUGCGGUGCCUGCGCUCAUUGUGCGGUGAAGCCAUAGAGUCCGCGCUGAAACCCGGGGCGCCCGCCUCCUGUCCGCGCAGGCGCUGCACGCUGUCGCCGGGGCAGCUUCACUCAGCUUCAGCCUCUCCAUCUGCAGAGGAGGAGUAAUCCCGUGCUGCCUCAUGGGGCCGUUUCAAGAAGGAAAUGAGAUGUGGUAUAAAGUGUUAGAGGAGUAUUUAGUGUUAUUAUUAAUGUGUUUUCUCAUCUGGGAACAUGAUUUGCAUUUUAAGCAGAACUUCAACAUUUGGACUCAAAGGAGUGAUGUGGAUGGGGAGAAUUUCAGGCAUCGUGCAGGCUGGCAUUAGAAAUGCUCACCGGAAAUGGAGCACAGGCAGCAACUUCAGCCCCUAGAAUUCUUCCUCCUAUGUCACUUCCGUCCCUCAAACCCUUUCUGCAGCCCCUGUCCUCUCUCCUGCAAUGGCAGUGAGCAGGUGGUCUCCUGGUGUCUCUGGAAAAUUCCCAUAUGGAGUCCUGGUUGAGAUGAGCCAGAAGGCUAGGAAGGAGCCUACAGUCCCGGUCUCAGCGCCCAGGAGGUUUUUCUAAUGGAGUUGGCAUGCAGAAGCUGGGGCAUACCCUGGGAGCAGCCCUGUGGCUGGAUGAGGGAUGGACAGCAGCACUGGGCGGGUGGAGCCGGGUGCGAGGUCCCCACAGCCUGCCUCCCAGUCCCACUGGCCAGCCCGGGGAGGGUGCUGAAGACAGGCUUCCUCUCUGGUCAAGCUCUGGCUAGCUUGGCAAGUGCAGGCAGGACCCUGGACCUGCCAUAUGGUGCACAUUUUGAGGACAUCAUUAGCAGGUUUGGAAGGUUGUGAUUCUGGUUGUGGGAGAGAAGGAACCUGGGAGUUGAGCAGGUGGUGGGUGGAGCUAUGCAUGCAACUGAGUGUGAGGAGUGCUUUGGCCAUGCUAGGGUCUCCUCUGGGCUGGAAGCCUUGUCUUCAAGAGGGUUGGGGUAGGAGGCUUUUUAUUAUAGUGGGAAGCCUCAAGCCUGGACCUGGGAAAACACUUUCUGGGUAUGAGGAAUUAAAAUAAACCUUGAAGCACUAUUUAGGAAGAACAUAGUAUCACUUCAUAGAUAUUUUCCCCCCUAAAUGGUUACAAAGUAAAAUGGCAGAGGUACAAAGAGGAAAAUGAAAACCACCCAAUCCCUUCCCUGAGCGAUGGCCCUGUUAUCCUUGGGCUCUGUGGCCAUCUGACCUCUCUCUGGGGACAGAAGUACAUGAGGAGAGGGGCCACUUCAUAAGACGGAGAUGCUCUCUUCCUGUUCCCUGCCUCUGCAUCGUGCUGGGGAUGUCUGUCCUCAUCAACUAAGAGACCCAUGUAGACCGCAGCUCUGAGAUCUUCUAUUUUUGUAAACAGAACAGUUUGUAGGGAGAUGUGAGAUGUUAGGUGGUGCUGGAGAGCCUGGGCUUUGUCUGUUUGGACAAGGCUCCAUCAAGGCAUCCUUUGUCCGACGGUGAGGCAUCUUGAGGGCUCUGGACCCAGAGCUGGUCCUGCAAGAGUCCUGUCUGAGAGCCCAGGCCCCACUCCACUAGGAGGGACAGGAGGGAACAGAGCAGAGCUGAGUCCCUUCACCUACCCAAACCCAUACAUGUUUCUAGAGCAGAGUAACUGCUUGUGAAACAGACCAUCAGAGCACAGGGCAGCACCGAGCUGCGUUCUGCAGGGCUCGGUCUAGGUGAUCUGGAGGGCUUGGGGAGCUGGCUUCUCCCCUCAUCCAGCAUGUAGCUACCCACAGCCACCUGCAUUUCACAGGGCCAGUGCCUAGGGACAUUGGGCCAGAAGCCAGAAUUUCUUUUUUCUUUUUUUUUUUCCCCUCUAGCAUUCACUACUAGCGCAAGCUAGUGCAUCCCAAAGUUUUGGCCCUGCGUGGAUAAUCAAUCCACAAUUUAUCUUCCGUCUGUUGCCAAAGUAAUUUAGCUAAAAUGCAGAUCUCAACUGGUCACUUCCCUGCGUAAAAGCUUCAAUAGCUUUCUAUCGCCUACAGGCAAAAGUCCCUCUUCUGAAAAGCGGCUUGCAAAGCCCUAGUAGCUGGCUCCAUGCCCCCCAGCAAUACGUGGCCUCCUCAGACGCAUCUUCUAGCAAAGGAGAGCUGCUCAGUGACAUCCACAAACCGAGCUGCUUCUCACCUACCUGUUUUCCUUCUCUUUGGGAUGCCCCCCGCCCUCACCUUCUGCUUCUGGCUAACUCCUAGGCAUCCUUGAAGGCUUGGCUCAGUAUCCUCUCCUCCAGGAAGCUGUCCCUCACCUUCUCUCCUUUCCCUCCAUCCCAGUCACCAUGCACCACACCCAUAUCCCCAUUGCAUCCUGCAGCUACCUUGUGCCUGCACACGUUGGGCUGGGCAUGCAUCUCCUUCUCUCUCAAGACCUGGAUCCCUUCACUUUGUGUCUCUGGACCCCCCAGUGUGCUGAUAAUGGGGUUGGAACCCAUCAUAUUUCUCUUGAACGAGUUAAUGAUGGGACUGCUAUUUCUCUAACUGUUGCCUUGGAGGCCCUGUCACGUGCUCAUGGAAGAGAGCCAGGGGGGUGGAGGUGAUUCUUGUUACCCAGAGGACGUGGGGUCUGGAUACACGUUUCUGCCAUCUGCCAUCUGCCAGCUUCUUUCUGGUUGGUAGCUUUGGAGCCUGGUGCAGCUGGGGCCAGUCCCGAGCCUGGACUCUGCUGGGCAGUGGCAAGAGCACUGUCUGGAGCUCUCCUGAGGAGCCCACAGAUCCAACUCCCUAGGCCAAGGCUGCAGCCUGGGGCAGAGAUGCAGAGGCCUGGAGGAGCCUAGGGCACGCGGCCUGCGGGCUGGCUGGGGUUCAGAGUUCGUAUGUGUGUGGAGUGACUGGGCAGGUGUUCAGAAAUGAAGGCUGGCACUGCCAGGUAAGGCCCUUCCCUCCCUGAUGUGAGAGCCCUGGAGCCACCGCAGAGGCCCAGUCAGAUCUCUGUUCUAAUUCUGGCCUGGUGUGGAGGAUGAGGAGAGACGGCCCAGAAAGGAAGGCAGACUGUGCAGACCCCAUGUCUUCUGGCCCGCGAGGCCCUCCUCCUGUGCCUGCUUAUCUUAAAGAAUCCGGGAUAAGAGGUGACUUGGGCCUUGGCCGGGAGGCCCCUCCUCAGCUUCAGACAAGGAGGGAGCUCUGGGCAUGAGGACAUUGAGCAAGAGGCGAUGGCAGUGCCCACAACUUACCCUCAGCUCGGCUCUGUUGGGUCCGAGAAGUUGCAUGGAAAGGGCUCCUUGGGGGCCAGUUGUCAGUAAGCUGCAGAAGCCUGGAGCCGGCCAGGAAAUAACCACGUGUAGGAGCCUUCUCAGCUGAGAGGAAGGAGGACUCACGCGCGGCGAGCACAUGCUUGGAGCCAGGCACAGAGUGAAGAUGCGCAGUUCUAAGGAAUUAUGCCCAAUGGCAGAAUUGGCAAGGGACAGGGAACUGUCCAGCAGAGAAGCUGCUGAAACCCUUCAGGGAACAUUCCAUUCCGCCAGGGCCCGGCUCUCACGCUCUGCUCUGCAGCGCAUCCGGUGCCAAGGAGGGGAGUAGCGAACGUUGACCUUGUCCCUAAGGAGCUUACACGCAGGGAGGUCAGCACAGACACUGGAAUAUCUAGGACUCUGCUAUCGAAAAACACAAUUGCUGGCACAUGGGUUCAGAAGACAGAGAAGGAAAAGAGCUGUAAAGAGUUGGGUGGGCUGAGGUUUGAAAUGGGCUUUAAUUAUGACUGGACACAAUUUGGUGACAAAUGGGUGAAAUUUCAAGCAGAAGAGGUAGCAUGAGCAAAAAGGGGUGUGCAGUCUUUGUGAAGAGAAGGGGGAGGGAGUGGCAAGGGAAUAGGACAGAGAGGAGGAGGAGGGAGAGGAAGCCAGAGAUAAGGAGCCAGGGGGGGAAGAAAAGGGCAGAAACGAAUGUGAAGGAGAUUCUGAAGACAAGCCACUGUGGUGGUCCAGGUGGUUCCAUGGUGCCGCGCCAAGCCAGGGGCUUGGAAUUUAGUCUGGGAGGAUGGUGCUGAGUAUGGAUGAGGAAGGAGAGGAAUGGAGAGGGGAGAAACGGGAAGGUACUUCACACUGAUUAAGCAAGCUCCUCACAGGGCUAUGACUUCUCCCUUCUCAGAAGGAGGUGCCCUGUGGCAUGCCUCUAGGCCCAGAGUUAAAGAGCUGGAGCCAUUAGGAGCAGCAAGGGGCUGCCUCCCCACUUGUCUGGUUACUUCUGGUUACUUCUCCCUCAGGGUAAGUCCUCAUGAGGGAUCAUCUCUGCCCAUGGAGCUGCUUCCGCUGCCCUUAGGCUGGUGUAAGAGGAAGGCUGUGUACCAGAGGUAGAUCUUGCUCCUAGUCCACCAGCAAAACACAUCCAGUUAUUUCUAUGCCUCAGUCUCCCUUCCCCACACUGAUCUCUUUAUUCCCCUACUACCUAGAAAUGGAAGGGAGACAAUGAGGUGGGAAAUAGAGUUUUUCGAAAGGUGUUUUUUGGAUAAGACAAAGGCCUCUCAGAGCAGAGCUGGCCAUUGGAAUGGUUUCCUUUUGUUAUUUAAUACCGGGGCUUUCACACAGGAGUUUAGCCCAGCUUUUAAGUCUUCAGUAUCAAAUAGUAGUUGGUGUCACAUCCCUGCUGAAAUACAGCCAUGAAAAUGUUUCUUAGUGAUAGAUUUAGGUUGUACUCCUUAAGAAAAGCCCAAAUGUCAAGAAUUGCUUCCCACUGGUACACUUUAUUGGGGAGAAGGGCAUCUCAAAUAGAAGGAUGGUUGGUCUGUCUAGAAAUGGUAAGAAUACUACAGGUUAAAGGCAGUGGUGGUCUGGACUAAAUGACCCCUGAAACUCGGAUUUUAUGGUGUUUUCAAUCUCUGGCUGAGUACAGGUUCCUCCCUCUCCCUUUGUGCCUCCUUGGGGACCUGGGCUAUUUUCUCCUCCGUGAAAGAGAAUGGAUACAUCCAUUAUGAAAACCAAUUGAUAUAAUUUGAGCCUGCAUGCAGGUAAAAACUAUAUUAAGAAGGUUUAUAAAAUCUAACCUUCUGGCUUAACAAGCUGAUUCUCAAAGUGGCCUCUCAGACCCUGGCUGAGGGAUGGUGGUCAGGGGUUGCAGAGGGACCCGCACAGCUGCUGAGGAGGCUGUGGGACAGGAGGCGCUAUCACUGUCUACCUCUUCCAUCCAUGCACCUGUGUGCAGGUGUGAGAAGGGCACCGUGCUGCAAAGAAGGGUCCUUUCCACCCUCUGCGGGUUGCUGCCGGCUCCCCGAUGCCUGCCUCUGAGGCCUGAGCCUGGGGCUGGGGAGUGUGCUGGCCUCACCUCUGGAGGAUACUGCCUCAGUGUUACAGCCUGACCCCCCACCUUGUCAUCACUGCCUACUACAGACCAGAGGGGACGGCCACAGAGACUCUGCAACCAUGGGCUCUGCCCUUCUUCCUUCUGCCUGUGUAUCUGUGAAAAACUUUUUUUUUUUUAAAUGGAGAAAGCUACCUUGACUUCUCAGAGAGUUGAAUGGGGUCAGGGGAUAGAAUCUAUAUUUUUUAGUUAUGGGCACUUACCCAUAUUCAAAAAGAUUUGAGGAGGCUGGCAGAAUGGAGCUGGGAGAAGAAAACCCUCCCCUGGGAGGAAGCUGUCCUGUGCAUGUUGGCCAGGCUGCCUCUUUGAUUAGGGACAAUGGAAACCGGCCUGAGGGCACGGGUGAAAGCAGUUGAGUGUAGAGGAGGCUCUGCAGCAGAAGCCAGAGGACACAGGAGCCAGUGAAGACACACAAUAAGUCAGAAAGGAGGGAUCUUUGCAGCCCCAAAAGUAGAAAUUCUUACCAUCUACUGCAAAGAGCAAAAGUUGAAAAUUGGUCUGAUUUCUAUCUAAAUGUGCUUACAUAUUCGUGUUCUGUUAAAUACUUCUGUAACCUGUGUGUCUCACAUAAAUGCAGCUUUCUUUAGUUUUGGAAAUAAAUCACAUGAAUCCUGAAUAGUAGUCUUUAAUAAUUUGCUUAGUUGUAGGGCAGUGUUGUGUUUUCAGAAGGCAAGUGUAUUUGCUAGAAGAGUGAGCUGGGAGGUGUGAACCACAUCGUCACAUCUGCUGUAAGCCUAGCCGUUCAUAAUACGGAGUUACAGUUAGGACACGUCGCCCUGAAGAGCUACCAUCGAAUGUGUGCUCAUCAAAUGCCUGGCAGCGUCCUCGGUGCUUCACCUGCCAUAGCCGACAGUGGCUGACCUCCCAUGCCUGUUGCCUUUUCUUUCUGUUGGAUCAGGGAUACACUGCCAUGUGUGUUAAGAAAAGCUGGCCUUACCUACAGGGCUGGCCAGUCCCGGUCACGUUUCUAGUAAGCCAUUGCCUUACAUAAGGGUAACGGCAUGGGACGCUAUCUUAGCCAAUGUGAUAAAAGUGGACAUGAGGUGAGAGGCUUCAGAGAGAGGUUUUAAAAAAGAGACAAAAGCAGGACGUUGCCUCUCUUCCUCCUCUCCACGUGUCCUACCCGGAUGUGAAGCCAAAACAGAUGCAGGCUUAGUGCAACCAUGGGGAACCCAGCAUAAGCACAGAUUCAACAGCAGAAGAGUGGCAGAGGGAGAAGGUGAAAGGAACCUAGGUUUUCCUGUCCUUGUUGAGUCAUUCAGUUAAAAAUCCCUGGAAUUUUCCUCUCUCCGGCAGUGUGUUUUGUGGGAUAAUGAGUUGCCUUAUUGGGGUUGGCUUGCUAGUCGGGAUGUUUCGCUCCCAUCAACAUCCAUACGCUUGCUCUGUGAACCAAUGACCUGAUGAGGUAGUAUUAGCACCACCAUCAUUAUGCUGAGGAUGAGAUUUAUGGCACAGUGGUUCAGUAGCUUGCCCAAGGCCAUGCGGCUGGUAGGUUCUGGAGGAGGGCUCAGGGCACCCCCUGAGCUACCCCUGCUGGCCAUUGCACCACCCCAUAAAGCUGCUGGCAGUCACUUCUCUGAGGGGUUAGCAUGUAAGAAAUGUCCUCCUGAAUGCUGGCCAGACAAAUGGAAAUCUGCCAGGGUUGGGUACCCCCAUGACAGCAGCCAGCCUGCCCUCUUAGUCCCUGACAGCUGCAGUGACAGCAUCUGUGAUUGCAAAGCGUGACAAUUUAUAUCUCUCAUUUCAUCACACCAUCUAUCAGCAGACAGUCAGGCUUUAAAAAUCAAUCCCACACUGACUCAGUCCCCAGCAGAGAUGGCCUCUGACAACAGUAUCCACACUGCAGGCUGGACAAGGGCCCUAUUAAUUUUGAGACUCAGCCAAAUUUCCUUCUGACCCUAAGCUGGUGAAUCCCUGCUCCUUUGCUUUGGUUGGGGUUGGUGUGAGCUAAGGCUGUGAUCCCAUUUGCUCCUAUGGCCUCCAGGUGGCCUGGGCCUCCAUGAAUGGGCCACAUGGUCAUACUGAAUGCUUGAUUACACUCAGACCUAGCAGUCGUCUGGGCGCAGCUGGUUUAUGGAUCACUUUGUCACAAUGUUCCAUCCUUCCAGGUCCCCAUCCCCGCGGUGGGAAAACAUUGCUUUAGGCAGUGCUAGAGGACUUCAGCAGGCAUUGGCAGCUUCUGGAUUCAGGAUUAGAACAAAGAAGGAGGAGUCACAGCAAAGAUAGGAACAGAAGGCAGAGAGAACAGACAGAUGGGGGUGUUUGAGAAGGAGGGCCUUUGAGACCUCAGGGAGUGGGAGACACUGGCUCGAGAAUAAUAAUAAUGGCAAUUUCUCUCAUCUGUGUUUUCAGGGCAUGGACUGGAACUCCCAAUACCCCUGACAUGGGCUGAGUCAACGUGGUCAUGAACAUGUGACAGGAGGCAGCAGAAGUUGCAGAGAAGAGUGAGGCACGUUUGAAAAAGGCUGAAAAAUGUUUCUGUCCAGGCAAGGGUGUGUGCUGAAUGACUCAAGGAUUUUUUGGAGAGAAUUGGAGUGUCUCACCAGAGGAGACCACGUCUGAAGGGCUUUGCAUCCCUCCUUGGACAUGUCUAAUACCUAACACUCAGAAAGCAUCCAGUAAAUAUUCGUGGAAAGAAAGGAGUGGAGAAGGGGAGAAAGGGGAAAGGGAGUAGGCGAGAGAGAAGAAAGACUCUGCUUCUUGCCCAGGGCCUGGCAUGGGGCGGAGGCAAAGCAGUGGGGUCCUCAGCUAUGUCCCACUGUGAGUGCACAGCGAGUCCUGACCUUCAGAGGGUGCAGCCCGAGGGGCCCUGGCCUGUCUGAAGGGUGCGCCAGCCGAGUGGCCUGCUCUGACCACCAGGCUCACCCAUGACUACCUGGGUGGCUACAGCCAGUUCCUGACAAUGAGUACAGCACUCAGUUAUCGGGGCCCUUCCACCCACACGCUGUCCACUUCCUGGGGUACUGCUGUGGGCAUGUGAGUGCUUGCUCCCCGGGGCACUGCUGUGGGCAUGUGAUAGCUUGCUCCCCAGCUCCACUAGUGACACUGGCGGCCCCUCGCUGGGGCCUUCCCCGCCUGCUCCGCUCCAUUACCGCUGCCGGGCUCCUCACGUCUCUCCUUGCUGCUUCCUGCACUGGGGUGAGGAGAGUGGGGCUGGUCCCCUUGAGACCGGAGAAGCUCCAGGCUUUUAAGGAAAACUGCCAGGGACGAAGAGAAGAUAUCACUUCCCCACGUGGUUGGCUUCCAGAUUCAGAAGGAAUGUCUGUCCUUGUGGAUUCCGUACCAGAUGACCCCAGAUGCUGCCUCAGUACUAGGUCCCUGUGGCUCUGGAGCCUUUGCUGGGUCUGGGCAGUGUCUCUUCCUCUCCAGUUCAUCCUUGGGUCUCUUCACCCUUGCCAGGGGCAGGCUUCCUGGUGAGAGGUCGACCUCCUGCAUGAAGGCUCUCAAGAGGCCAGUUCAAAGCCAAGCUCCGGGUCUGUGCCUGUGGGGCUGCUCCUCGAUCAGGAGAUGGUCACUCCCCUCCUGGUCUGUAUCUGUGGGAUUCUCCUCCAUCAGGAGAUGGUCUCUCCCCUCCUGGUCUAUACCCGUGGGAUUCUCCUCCAUCAGGAGAUGGUCACUCCCCAUCCUGGUCUAUACCCGUGGGAUUCUCCUCCAUUAGAUGGUCACUCCCCUCCUGGUCUAUUCCCGUGGGGCUGCUCCUCCAUCAGGAGGUGGUCACUCCCCCUCCUGGUCUAUACCCGUGGGGCUGCUCCUCCAUCAGGAGAUAGUCACUCCCCCUCCUGGUCUAUACCCGUGGGAUUCUCCUCCAUCUGGAGAUGGUCACUCCCCUCCUGGUCUAUACCCAUGGGAUUCUCCUCCAUCUGGAGAUGGUCACUCCCCUCCUGGUCUAUACCCAUGGGAUUCUCCUCCAUCUGGAGAUAGUCACUCCCCUCCUGGUCUAUACCCGUGGGGUUCUCCUCAAUCAGGAGGUGGUCACUCCCCUCCUGGUCUAUACCCGUGGGAUUCUCCUCCAUCAGGAGAUGGUCACUCUCCCUCCUGGUCUAUACCCGUGGGGCUGCUCCUCCAUCAGGAGAUGGUCACUCCCCUCCUGGUCUAUACCUGUGGGAUUCUCCUCCCUCAGAAGAUGGUCACUCCCCCUCCUGGUCUAUACCCAUGGGAUUCUCCUCCCUCAGAAGAUGGUCACUCCCCCUCCUGGUCUAUACCCGUGGGGCUGCUCCUCCAUCAGGAGAUGGUCACUCUCCCUCUCGGUUGCUCAGUCCAAAAACAACCUCUCUGGAAAACUGCGUGGAAUUUUUUUUUAAAGAAUUGAAACUAGAACUAGCAUUUGAUCCAGCCAUCUGCCUACUGGGAAUACACCCAAAGAAAAAUAAAUCAUUAUAUCAGAAAGAUAGAAUAUGCAUGUGGAUG